UACGUAGGGGGCAAGCGUUGUCCGGAAUCAUUGGGCGUAAAGCGCGUGUAGGCGGCUCGAUAAGUCCGCUGUGAAAGUCCAGGGCUCAACCCUGGAAUGCCGGUGGAUACUGUCGAGCUCGAGUCCGGAAGAGGCGAGUGGAAUUCCUGGUGUAGCGGUGAAAUGCGCAGAUAUCAGGAGGAACACCAAUGGCGAAGGCAGCUCGCUGGGACGGUACUGACGCUGAGACGCGAAAGCGCGGGGAGCAAACAGG
rnacentral:rRNA from 1 species